rnacentral:rRNA from 1 species
AACGAACGCUGGCGGCAGGCCUUACACAUGCAAGUCGAGCGGACCCUUCGGGGUUAGCGGCGGACGGGUGAGUAACGCGUGGGAAUAUGCCCUUCUCUACGGAAUAGUCCUGGGAAACUGGGGGUAAUACCGUAUACGCCCUUUGGGGGAAAGAUUUAUCGGGGAAGGAUUAGCCCGCGUUGGAUUAGGUAGUUGGUGGGGUAAUGGCCUACCAAGCCGACGAUCCAUAGCUGGUUUGAGAGGAUGAUCAGCCACACUGGGACUGAGACACGGCCCAGACUCCUACGGGAGGCAGCAGUGGGGAAUCUUAGACAAUGGGGGCAACCCUGAUCUAGCCAUGCCGCGUGAGUGAUGAAGGCCUUAGGGUUGUAAAGCUCUUUCAGCUGGGAAGAUAAUGACGGUACCAGCAGAAGAAGCCCCGGCUAACUCCGUG